GACGUAGGAGGCGAGCGUUGUCCGGAUUCAUUGGGCGUAAAGAGCGCGCAGGCGGCUUGGUAAGUCGGAUGUGAAAUCCCGAGGCUCAACCUCGGGUCUGCAUCCGAUACUGCCCGGCUAGAGGUAGGUAGCGGAGAUCGGAAUUCCUGGUGUAGCGGUGAAAUGCGCAGAUAUCAGGAGGAACACCGGUGGCGAAGGCGGAUCUCUGGGCCUUACCUGACGCUCAGGCGCGAAAGCUAGGGGAGCGAACUGG
rnacentral:rRNA from 1 species